GAUUACUUUGGCAACCAUGUACUAAAAUUAAAACAAUAUAAAGAAGAUUGGCCUGGCACCUACACAAGGGUGACAGGCAUAGCUGUGAAGGAUUCUGGAUCUGG